rnacentral:lncRNA from 1 species
GGUCAGGAUGCCCUGCCACAACGGGAUGCCCCGAUCCGUCGGGAUGGCCCGAGACGUCGGGGUGCGGUCUUAAGUGACCAGACGAGCUCGGCUCGUUCUCCAUCGACUUCCACCGACGAGCUCGGCUCGUGCUCCAUCGACUAUGAGUAGCGGUCCUCUCUGACCAGAUGAGCUCGGCUCGUUCUCCUACCCUGACCACGGUCAGGA